ACCCAACCCUUUGCCCUGAGCCCCCACAUUCUGCCCUCACUCCAGAACCCGGCAACCUAAGCUCCCCAACCAGUCCCCUGCCCUGACUCCUGCACCCCAUCCACUAUCCUGAGGCACCCCACCCCAUAUCCUGAUCUAGGGAUACGAAGGUUUAACCAAUACUCCUUGUGGGUUAAGAUGAACAGAUGAGGCUGAAGCAGCUCUCCAUCUGCUGCAGGCAGGGGCUGCUCCAGCCUCACAGGGGGCCUGCUAUGGACAGGCAGGGGCUGCUGUGACUGGGAUGCUCAGAGCAGUCCCUGUCUCUGAGGUGCCCUGACCCGGUCACAAGGAAGAGCUGCUCCAUUGUCCCAGUCAGAGCACCCUUUGUCCGCAGCCCCGCAGGGUACCCUGCAGGCAGGGACCAGCCAGGCUGCAGCAGAGGGAAGGAGGGAGGGGUGUCCCCUCUCUCUCCCCCAGCAGUGGGAAGGGGGAGCACACCCAUCCUCCCCCUUUUAAUCGAUUAAACAAUAUGUUUAGCUGGUUAGCCAAUUAAAGAGGAUUUUACAUCCCUACCCUGAGCCUCUGCCCUAAGCCCGCCACACAUCUCACAGCUCCCUGCCCUAACUCCUGAACCAAGCACCCCACACACUCAACCUCCUGCCCUGAGCCCUGUCAUUUAAGUAAAGCAUGUACUUUUUUUUAAUUUAAAAAAUUACUAAAGACCAAGCAAUGCCAGGUACAUCUGCUAGUACUACAUAGCCUAAGUAGGUCUUUGUUACAAAAUAAUAAACCCUGAAACUAUCAAUGUGAUUACAGUCUAUGCUCUUUGAAUGUCUGCUGACAUUUAUUCUCACUACAUGCCACUUACUGGACAUAUAAUAAAUUGCCAUGUACAGAAUAGCUGACUAAUUUCACUGACUGAAACCAAAAGAAAAUACAAAGGCAACAGACAUCCUUUUUCACAUACAUAAGCGUGGCUCUUAUGCUAUAGAGGGCUACCUGGUAUUUAAAAUCUGAUGCAAUAAAAUAUUUGCACAAUUGAUAUUAUGUUAUGUCCACAAAAAUUAUGAAAACUUUUAACAAAUUCUAGCUCUUCCUGGAGAGUAAUAACAUGUCUGCACAACCUUCAACUUUAUUAUCUGGAACAGAUAUUUUAAACUACAUUAGACUACAAUAUGUUGCCAACAUUUAAACAUGUAAAACUUCACCCUUAAGUAAACUUUUGCUAAGUAUCAUUAAAUAGCUAGCCUCAGUUCUCUCUAUAAAAUACUGGCUAAGAAUAAUUUUAUUUCAACUACAGCUUUACCACAGCAGAAAAGACAUGUAAGAGGGCAGACAUUUAUAUACUAGGCACUAUUUGUUGCAUUGUUUAAUAGCUAAGGACUCCAGAUUACUUUCUAAAUAGGGUGAGGAUUGGUGCUCCUCCACUAAACAACACACAAAAAGGAAAGAAUACUGCCUAAUUUAGAAAAGAUCAAUCAUCAACCUAAAUAAACAGAGUGAUAAGCAACUGCUACUUUAAAAUUCCACAGCUUCAACGAUUGGGAUUACGAACUGCAGACUAAUACGGAAGGGACUAAUAGCUAAGCAGAAAAAGCAGGAACUGAGUGACAAAAAGAGCGUGUCUGUGUCUCUCUCAGUCUCUGCCUCUGGUGCAUGCACCUCCCAGCAGCUCUCUCCCUAUUUAAAGGCUGAUGUGGUGUUUAAAUGGAGAGGCGGUGACGUGGGGCUGGAAAGCACCUUCCCAUCCUGGCAGAGUCUAUAUUAGAGAGCGGCAAUGGCUCUAUAUAAACAGGGCAGUCACAGGGAGGAGGAACACAAGGAGCAGGGAGACAGAAAGGCAGGGGAAGCCAUGAUGGAUCUCACAGCGAAACACAAACAAGGGGGCCAAGCCUGCACCGUAACCGCCCGGACUGGGGUUUGUCGGCAGCUUUUCGGGGGUAGGCUUGUGGAUGGGUUUAUUCUUGUCAGAGGGAAGGGAAAGAAGCGAUCGGUGGGGCUUGGCGGCUACAAAGAUUUAUGUGACUGCUUAUUGCACAUCUAUGUGAAUACAAGUAAAACAAGCCACCGCCGAGAGUGCAGAAAGCACAAGGGGGAGGAAGGGGUAUUACUAAAGCAUUUUGCACGUAUAGUAAGGGCGCAAGAAGUACGUUCUGAUUGCACACAACGUUGACUGAGAGAGCCAUGUAUUCCCUCUACAUUCAAACCACUGCAAUCGGCAAUCUGCACACCCCACAAAUUAUAGCUGUUGCCAUUUUGAGCUUGAGGGUCUCCCCCUUCCACAUUCAUGGAACACCUGACUCAGGUAAUGAGGGGAAGAAGAGAACUCAGGAUAACAUGUUCCAGGAGAUGCUGCAAGCCAGGGUUGCAACAAGGAACAAGACCAAGGUCUGGAGGAUGACCUUUGCAAACAGCAUUCAGAAUGCCAGAGUGGAGAGAAGAAAGCCCAGGAGUCCAAGCAGGCAAAGGAAAAAUAGAUGUACCAGGAAAUAAUGGGGCUUCUCGGAGAGCAAAAAGAGAUGUGGAGGAUUCUGAUAGACCUCCCUCUGCAGCCCACAGACAACUCAGUGUUCAGACUUCCCUACCCCUGCCCUCAACAUUCCACAUGGCGUGAGUGGCCGCUGCACGUCCCAGAGAACUUUAAAGACAAUCACAACUGCACAGAUGCUGACCUGUGAAAGAUGUAAUUAGUACUUGAAGUAGAAAUAACUCUUCUUUCCCCUUCAUAUUUUCUGGUUCCUUAAUUUAUGUUUUAUAAAGUCUACAUGUUUAUUUCCCUGGUUCAUGUUACAGAAUACAAUUCUGUUUUUUGGAACUUAAGUCAUCUUUAUUAGUUCACAACAUAUGCUGACUGGUGCUGCGCAGGGCUGACACCCACCAAUUUCCUGUUAUUUUAUUUUGUCUCAGAACCAUAAACAUCUCAGGCAAUAUUAAUAGUGCAUUGUUAAUGUUUUAUUCCUACACAUAGCACUCACUACAUGUUUCAAACUAGGCUGCAAAAGAGAAACAUACCCUACUCUGGCUCAUGAUUAAAAUGUUUGUUUAAAGUGUCUCAUCUGAAUAGCUCCAUAUUGAGCUCUUCUAAUAAACCUCAUGUCUGGCUGUUCAAAUUUAGCAAAUAGCUGCUCCACCUUGCCCCUACAUCCCAGAGUUAACAUGAGGGGUGGCAGGAAGUGUGCAUAGGGGCAGCACACCCAGAGAUCCCCAGGAACCAUUACCAGAGGGGGAUGACCCCAGAUGUGUUGCACCUCCUUUCCAGCCUUCCCCAAACUCCCUUGUGCAUCCCACACCCUCCAGAGCCUGCACCCUCUUCCCCCACACCCUUGUCCUGCCCACUCUCCCCCUCCAGCCCUCAAACUCCCUGCCAGAGCCUGCAUCCAGGACCCCCUGUCCCAGGCCAGAGCCAGCACCCAGACUCUAUCCCAAAGUCUGCACCACAGACCCCCAUCUGCACCCCUUCACCCCAACAAUGUUUUGGUUCCAUGAAGCAUUGCAAACCCCUCUCCAAGCCCCCUGCUGCUAGGUGCACUGUGAGAUAGCUACCAAGGAUACACUUCUCUCUGCAUCGAUGCAAGCACUGCUGAGGAUGUACUCCACUGACACAGUGAACGUGGCGUGGACCUGCCCAAUUGACUUAAUUACUGUAACAGCUGGAUUCCAACUUAAAGUAAGUUGAUUUAACUUCGUAUUGUAAAUGUGCUAUAUGAAAGUGUAAAGGACAUUACACCAAUCAACCAGUUACAAUCAACCAGUCCUUUCCCAGCUGAAAUUCCCUUUUAUAUUAGAUGUUUGUACUGAUGUUACAAUGUAGUUACGUCAAUGCAAAUUUCUCUAGUCUAGCCAGGCCCUUAGGCUCUUUUACACAUAUUUACUCAGGGCUUUUCACCAUCCAUAUAAUUUAUUUGCUUAUAUAGAGUUUCUCCUUAUUUAUACUAGCAUCUGUGAGUGAAGUUUCCGAUCCCUAGAAAAAAAUUAGAUACACAUCCACUUAUUUAAAUAUAACCUACAUCCUAUAAUAGUUCAGGACAGCCAUACAGUAAAUUUAGGAUGUACUGGUGUGGUGUCCUGACAGGUCUCCUGCUCCGUCAGUGAUCGUAAAAUGUUUGGCGUGUUUUUGUGCUUCCUCAGUAUAUCAUGCCAGCUUUGCACAGGUAGCUAGCAUAAUAGACUUUCUGAGAGCUCUCAAAGACCACAGAUGUAGAUAAGAUACGAAGGCGCCCAAGUCAGUUUAUUGUCGAAUACAGUAGUACAUUAAUAGUUUGGUAGACAGAUGGCCUCCGAGCCCCUACGUAUUUGUACUUGGGACAUUGAACAGGGUUCAAUCGAUAGUAUGGAUUUUACUAUUGCCCCCUAUGUUGGCCAAAGAAUUAAGUUGAGGUACCCCAAUAUUUAUAGACAGAAAUGAAAAAUGUAUGAUAUGCACCAUACAUAUCACCUUACACAUUAAUGACACAUUUGGUUUCUCCCCUUAUACUUUUUCUAAAGCAUUUACUACCCAUUGUUAUGCUUGUACUUUUGUUGUUUUAAACUAUUUUAUUAUGUACUUAGGUGGGUGUUUUUGUACUGUUUUAAUGGAACAUAUUUACAUGUUAUAUGUGCUUUUAUCAGUGCUAGCAGUUCUAGUGCUGAGAUACACUGACUUGAAGGCAAACACUUGCUUUUGACAUGGCCUGUUUAUUACUUAUAAUACAACUUUGGUUAAA